AUGGACCCUCCGUCCAGAGUGGUGAACGAAGGAGACCCCUUGCUCCUCACUUGCUUGGCCAAAGGAGGCGGCGUGGAGAAAAGAUUCCAUUUCUUCAGGGAUGGUGUUCAGAUUAUCUCCGACAGCGGUGGGUCCCUGCGGUUCUCCAGAGAACAUGGGGGUGCCUCCGCAGGUGUGUCUGUCAACAUCCUGAAGGCUAAGCUCAACCACACCGGGGAAUUUGCCUGCAGGUAUGAGGAAAAAACGAGCAGGGGGUGGAUCGUCUCUCCGUGGAGUCAGAAGGUGUACCUCACAGUUUGGGCACCAAAUUCCUCUUCUCCACCCCUGCUAUAUGCAUGUUUGGCAAUUCCACUGGCGAUCCUGAUGGUCCCUCUUGCUUUUUACUGCACGAGAAGGAAUAGAGCGUUGAAAUCCGAACAGGAAAACAGGGAAGAAGCAAAUUCCGAGUACCUUGAAAUGUUCAGCGCCACAAGGAAGCCUCAGAGGUAAUGGCAACUAAUGCUGGUAUAACACUGAUGUGAUGUGUGUCUUCAUAAUUUCUUAUUUAUUUAAAGCAUUUCUUCCAAAAAGUGUUCCAAACUGGCCGACCAAAAUAACAAUGGUUGUGGCACACAAGGAGGAAGGGAGGAGCGAAAGAGCCAGCUCAGGCAGCAGUUCAGUUCCUAAAGUUUUGAACAUAGUUGGAGGCGAAGAGCACCCACAAACCAUGCAAGGAGUUUCCAGAGGGGAGGAAAACUUGAACCCAGAGCCUGGCAACCUGGAAAUGCAGGAGAGACUUAUCAGUCAAGAGAGGGACAACGUCUUGUUGGCUGGGAGAUAAAAGGAUGAAAGGCGAUUGGAGGAACAGGCAGUGGGGGGUGUCCCAGGCAGAAAAAGGAGCAAAGAGACCCCACAGGAAGAAUCAUAGAAUUGUAGAAUUGGAAGGGACCCAUGUAGAAUUGAAAGGGAUCAUCUAGUCCCACCCCCCUGCAAUGCAGGGAAAUGCAGCUGCCCCUUACGGGGAUCAAACCUGCAACCUUGGCAUCAUCAGCACCACGCUCUAGCCAACUGAGCUAUCCAGGAAGAAGGACAAGUUUGGGGAUGGCAGAUAUGGAGGGGGAAACACAUUUUAAAAAUUAAAGAAUUGUCCAGUAGCACCUUGGAGACCAACUAAGUUUGUUCUUGGUAUGAGCUUUCAUGUGCACGCACACUUCUUCAGAUACACUGAAACAGAAGUCAAAAGACCUUUGUAUAUAGUGAGAGGGUGGGGAGGGAUAUUACUCAGAAGGGUGGUGGGAAUGGGUGACUGGCUGAUAGUAGUAAACAGUCGACACCUAUCAGCCAAUCACCCAUUCCCACCACCCUUCUGAGUAAUACCCCUCCCUGUCUCACUACAUAUAAGGGUCUGGUGACUUCUGUUUCAGUGUAUCUGAAGAAGUGUGCAUGCACACGAAAGCUCAUACCAAGAACAAACUUAGUUGGUCUCCAAGGUGCUACUGGACAAUUUUUUAAUUUUUAUAUAUAUAUUUCUACUGCGUCAGACCAACACCGCUACCUACCUGAUUCAGGAGGGGGAAAUGGCUGGCAUAUUGGAGAGAAGGAAAGAUGUCUGUAAGGGAUGGGGUGGCUGGGACAGGGACAGAGCCAGUGGACAGGGACAGGUGGGGGCAGAAGGGGCGAAGGGAGCAGAGCAGGAUUCCAGGUUGCUGGAGGCUGGGCUAGAUGACCCUUGGCGGUCCCUUCCAACUCUAUGAUUCUAUGAUUCUAAUGUCUAUUCUGGACCCAGGAGGGCAGGCAGCUCCUGCUACAUGGUUCUGUCCUCAGACAGAUGCUUUGAUGGCCGUUUGGACUUCUCACAAGAGGGGGAUUAAUCAUUGAGUUACUUGGCCCUUCACCUUUGCUGUGAGAUGCUAUGCGUUUUCUCUGUGUAAGAACUAGGACGGAAACUGUGGAAACAUUUAAAAAUAAAAUAGUUUAGCGAGGUUAUUUCCCCCUCCAUUCAUGGCUGGGAUUGGGAGAUUCUUUCUGUCUUUCAUAUUAAAACCAUCACAACUUCCUCCAUGAAACCUUUGAUAAUACAUUAACUGGCUCCCUCCCCCACAAUCUCUAUUUAAGGAAAUAGAAACUGAGCUAUGGGAUUGGCUGCUACAGGAUGUGGUUUAGGUGCCUUUUGAAAAGAGGUACAUUCGUGAAUAAUAUUCUGCCAAAACAUUUUAGUCAUGACAGCUAAGUAGAUCUUCACUGUGCAGAAGCAGUCUACCUCUGAAUUGCUGUGCACUGGAGAUAAGCAAAAGAGGAGGGUGGCCUGUUUGUGAGUUGCCCAGGAGUGUCCAGCUGGCUGCUGUCAAAACUGAAUGAAGCGAACCCUCAAUUUGCUCCCAACAGCCUUGGGGGGAUCAUCAUUCUUUGAACAUGUCCCUCAAUUUCCUUCUCCUUUUCAGGACUCAGACGCCUUUUACUGCCUUGCCGCCCCCUGCUCUGCCUCAGCCCCCAAUAUCGCAAUCAUGGAUGGAGAGCGGAGCCAAACCAGGGGAAGACCAGGAGGAAGGUCUCUACAACAACAUUCCCCUUCAGGGCAAGAAGAGAGCAGAACAAUACAGAGAUUCUGAAGAAGAAUGAGCCAUCGGGGAGAUUAAAAUAUUCAGAUGGGGAUUUAUGACCAGGGAGAUGGGGUGGAAGGGGUCAGGGAAGAGGGCAGUGUUUUUCUCUGCAUACGGCUUGGCUCAACUUCUGCAGCACUUUCCUCAAGAGCAGGGGUCAGCAAACUUUUUCAGCAGGCGGCCGGUCCACUGUCCCUCAGACCUUGUGGGGGACCGGACUAUAUUUUGAAGGAAAAAAUAUGAACGAAUUCCUAUGCCCCACAAAUAACCCAGAAAUGCAUUUUAAAUAAAAGAACACAUUCUACUCAUGUAAAAACACGCAGAUUCCCAGACCGUCCACGGGCCGGGUUUAGAAGGGAUUGAGCCUUUUCCAUUCUCAUUUUAAUCUUCUGACAUACCCAAGUACAGCCCACCCAAACACCCCCUGACCAUUGACCAUGCUGGCUUGGACAGAUACAGUUUGGUCCAACAACAACUGGAAGGCUACAGGUUCCCCCAGCCUUGUUCUAGAUAGAGGACAGAGGACCUUCUUGGUAGUGGCACCCUCCCUGUGGAAUGCCCGCCCUUCAGAUGUCAAGGAAAUAAACACCUAUCUGACUUUUGAAGGACAUCUGCAGGCAGCCCUGUUUAGGAAAGUUUUAAAGACGAUGUUUUUAGAUAUGCUGUAAACUGCCCAGAUGGGCAGGAUAUAAAUAAUAAAAUUAUUAUUAUUAUUAUUAUUAUUAUUAUUAUUAUUAUUAUUAUUAUUAUAAAAUGAUUUGCAAUAGCUAGAUGUGCCAUUGGAAGCUUAUGU
ensembl:lncRNA